rnacentral:rRNA from 1 species
GAUGAACGCUGACAGAAUGCUUAACACAUGCAAGUCGAUUCAAUUUACCUUCGGGUAUUGAGGAUGGCGGACGGGUGAGUAACGCGUAAGGAACUUGCCUCUUGGUCUGGGACAACUGUUGGAAACGACAGCUAAUACCGGAUAUUAUGAGAUUCUCGCAUGGGAAACUUAUGAAAGCUAUAUGCGCCAAGAGAGAGCCUUGCGUUCCAUUAGCUAGUUGGUGGGGUAACGGCCCACCAAGGCGACGAUGGAUAGCCGGCCUGAGAGGGUGAACGGCCACAAGGGGACUGAGACACGGCCCUUACUCCUACGGGAGGCAGCAGUGGGGAAUAUUGGACAAUGGGCCACAAGCCUGAUCCAGCAAUUCUGUGUGCACGAUGAAGGUCUUCGGAUUGUAAAGUGCUUUCAGUUGGGAAGAAGAAAGUGACGGUACCAACAGAAGAAGCGACGGCUAAAUACGUGCCAGCAGCCGCGGUAAUACGUAUGUCGCAAGCGUUAUCCGGAUUUAUUGGGCGUAAAGCGCGUCUAGGCGGAAAAAUAAGUCUGAUGUUAAAAUGCGGGGCUCAACUCCGUAUUGCGUUGGAAACUGUUUUUCUAGAGUACUGGAGAGGUGGGCGGAACUACAAGUGUAGAGGUGAAAUUCGUAGAUAUUUGUAGGAAUNNCGAUGGAGAAGUCAGCUCACUGGACAGANACUGANNCUAAAGCGCGAAAGCNUGGGGAGNAAACAGGANUAGAUACCCUGGUAGUCCACGCCGUAAACGAUGAUCACUAGGNGUUGGGGGUCGAACCUCAGCGCCC